GACGAACGCUGGCGGCGUGCUUAACACAUGCAAGUCGAACGCUGAACCCGCUUCGGUGGGGGAUGAGUGGCGAACGGGUGAGUAACACGUGGGCAACCUGCCCCCGGCUCUGGGAUAACUCCAAGAAAUUGGGGCUAAUACCGGAUGUGACCGCUGGCCGCAUGGUCUGGUGGUGGAAAGGGUUUCCGGCUGGGGAUGGGCCCGCGGCCUAUCAGCUUGUUGGUGGGGUAGUGGCCUACCAAGGCGACGACGGGUAGCCGGCCUGAGAGGGUGACCGGCCACACUGGGACUGAGACACGGCCCAGACUCCUACGGGAGGCAGCAGUGGGGAAUAUUGCGCAAUGGGCGGAAGCCUGACGCAGCGACGCCGCGUGGGGGAUGACGGCCCUCGGGUUGUAAACCUCUUUCAGCAGGGACGAAGCGCAAGUGACGGUACCUGCAGAAGAAGCACCGGCCAACUACGUG
rnacentral:rRNA from 1 species